UACGAGGGGGGCAAGCGUUGUUCGGAAUUACUGGGCGUAAAGAGUGUGUAGGCGGUGUUCCCAGUCUGUUGUGAAAUUUCCCGGCUUAACUGGGAGGGUGCAGCGGAAACUAGAAUGCUAGAGGGUGGGAGAGGUAAGCGGAAUUCCUGGUGUAGCGGUGAAAUGCGUAGAUAUCAGGAGGAACACCUGUGGUGUAGACAGCUUACUGGACCACUUCUGACGCUGAGACACGAAAGCGUGGGUAGCAAACAGG
rnacentral:rRNA from 1 species